GCCGGCGUGGCGAAACUGGUAGACGCGCUAGACUCAAAAUCUUGUUAGGCAACCCCUAGUGCCGGUUCGAGUCCGGCCGCCGGCACCA
rnacentral:tRNA from 1 species